rnacentral:rRNA from 1 species
GACGAACGCUGGCGGCGUGCUUAACACAUGCAAGUCGAACGGAAAGGCCCUGCUUUUGUGGGGUGCUCGAGUGGCGAACGGGUGAGUAACACGUGAGUAACCUGCCCUUGACUUUGGGAUAACUUCAGGAAACUGGGGCUAAUACCGGAUAGGAGCUCCUGCUGCAUGGUGGGGGUUGGAAAGUUUCGGCGGUUGGGGAUGGACUCGCGGCUUAUCAGCUUGUUGGUGGGGUAGUGGCUUACCAAGGCUUUGACGGGUAGCCGGCCUGAGAGGGUGACCGGCCACAUUGGGACUGGGAUACGGCCCAGACUCCUACGGGAGGCAGCAGUGGGGAAUAUUGCACAAUGGGCGGAAGCCUGAUGCAGCAACGCCGCGUGCGGGAUGACGGCCCUCGGGUUGUAAACCGCUUUCGCCUGUGACGAAGCGUGAGUGACGGUAAUGGGUAAAGAAGCACCGGCUAACUACGUG